UACGGGGGGGGCAAGCGUUGUUCGGAAUUACUGGGCGUAAAGGGCUCGUAGGCGGCCAACUAAGUCAGACGUGAAAUCCCUCGGCUUAACCGGGGAACUGCGUCUGAUACUGGAUGGCUUGAGUUUGGGAGAGGGAUGCGGAAUUCCAGGUGUAGCGGUGAAAUGCGUAGAUAUCUGGAGGAACACCGGUGGCGAAGGCGGCAUCCUGGACCAACACUGACGCUGAGGAGCGAAAGCCAGGGAGCAAAGCGGG
rnacentral:rRNA from 1 species